AUAGCUAAAUUAAAUAGACUCUCAGAAGAGUUAAAGAGAAACUCUGGAGUUACUGAUCCCUGGGAAAAAUGGUUUGGUUGGAUGACUGGUUGGCAGAGAGCUUUAGUCCAGAUUGGUAUUGCCUUACUAAUUUUUCUUUUUUAUUCUCGCUCUUCUCAUUUGUUGUGUCCUCCCAUGCCUAAGGAAAUUCCUGCAGAAAACUGUAGACCAAGCAACACCAACCUUCACUCAUCUGACAAUCGAUGAUCAAGACCUCAAACUCUCCGCUACAAACUCUCCCUUAUACUGAUGAACUGCAGCAAAAUCCAGCAAAGGACCUUUAAAUCUGCCUGGUUUAAUCCUAUCCAGUACGACUGCAACAAGAACCUUCUGAUUAUAACAGCAGCGUUUCUCGUUUUUAUGGAAUAAUCGAAAAGGACAUUUCAAAACGUGACGUUAACAGACUGGGACUUUGUGCUUUGGUUUGUGUCUUCCUGAAUGAGAGCAUUUGAAGAGACUCCCCUUGCCAGGUUUACCUCAAAGAAAAAAUGCAG